UACGUAGGGUGCGAGCGUUGUCCGGAUUUAUUGGGCGUAAAGGGCUCGUAGGCGGCCUAUCGCGUCGGGAGUGAAAGCCCACUGCUUAACGGUGGGUCUGCUUUCGGUACGGGCGGGCUAGAGUAUGGCAGGGGAGACUGGAAUUCCUGGUGUAGCGGUGGAAUGCGCAGAUAUCAGGAGGAACACCGGUGGCGAAGGCGGGUCUCUGGGCCAUUACUGACGCUGAGGAGCGAAAGCGUGGGGAGCGAACAGG
rnacentral:rRNA from 1 species